AAUUCGGUGCAUCAUCAGGGGACCAUGCUAUUAACAUUAGCGCAAACAUAGCAUUUGAUAUCGUGCAGCGCGUUUCGUCGCUGAUUCGUUGUUAUUAUCACUUUUUGUUUUUGUUUAUUGUGCCGUUAAAAAACGAAGCAAACAGGCAGCCAUCAGUGACGACUCAUAAGCCGCAAUAAUAAAUCUAAAAGUAUACAAGUUUGUCUCGUGAUUGCCAAAAAUUAACCGUCUAACAGAAGGACGUACGUCGUACGUGCCUCCCCUUUAAGAAUCAACCUCAACCGCCCUAACAUUAUUUGCUGUUUUUGUUUGUGCUGUUGCGCGCUGGCUGGUCCAGGAAAUUCGUUGCGUUCAAUAUUUCAUUUCUACGCAGCAGCAACGGCGGCAGAAGCGGCAGCAGCACCAGCAGCAGCAGCAGGAAAAGCAAGUUGGCUCAGUGCCCCGUUGCGAAUUGACAUAUUGUGUGGUUGCGCAUUCAGUGGUAAAGUGCAGAUGCGCAGUUUGUAACGGCGCCCAUGCGCGCACAGCUGAUCGAUUGAGAAUCGAUUGAAACUAACCUAACCUAACGACAAUACAGCUUCAAA